UACGGAGGGUGCGAGCGUUGUCCGGAAUCACUGGGCGUAAAGGGCGCGUAGGUGGCGCGACAAGUCAACGGUGAAAGCCCGGGGCUCAACCCCGGGUCGGCCGUCGAUACUGUUGGGCUUGAGCACUGUAGAGGCAGAUGGAAUUCCGGGUGUAGCGGUGGAAUGCGUAGAGAUCCGGAAGAACACCGAUGGCGAAGGCAGUCACCUGGACCUGUACUGACGCUCAUGCACGAAAGCGUGGGGAGCAAACAGG
rnacentral:rRNA from 1 species